rfam:Ovis aries breed Texel chromosome 5, whole genome shotgun sequence.
UCCCUGGUAGCUCAGCUGGUAAAGAAUCUGCCUGCAAUGCAGGAGAUCCCGGUUUGAUUCCUGGGUUGGGAA